rnacentral:rRNA from 1 species
GACGAACGCUGGCGGCGUGCUUAACACAUGCAAGUCGAACGGUAAGGCCCUGCUUUUGUGGGGUGCUCGAGUGGCGAACGGGUGAGUAACACGUGUGUAACCUGCCCUUGACUUUGGGAUAACUUCAGGAAACUGGGGCUAUUAUCGGAUAUGAGCUCCUGCUGCAUGGUGGGGGUUGGUAAGUUUCGGCGGUUGGGGAUGGACUCGCGGUCUAUCAGCUUGUUGGUGGGGUAGUGGCUUACCAAGGCGUUGACGGGUAGCCGGCCUGAGAGGGUGACCGGCCACAUUGGGACUGGGAUACGGCCCAGACUGCUACGGGAGGCAGCAGUGGGGAAUAUUGCACGAUGGGCGGAAGCCUGAUGCAGCAACGCCGCGUGCGGGAUGACUGCCUUCGGGUUGUAAACCGCGUUCGCCUGUGACGAAGCGUGAGUGACGGUAAUGGGUAAAGAAGCACCGGCUAACUACGUG